CUUUGUCAUGUGCUAGUGACUUUUUUACAAAACAAUCAUGUUAUAUCUUACCUUUACACUGCUCCCUCACAGUAUCGUACUCGUAACCUUCAGUGCACUGUGGAACAAAAUACAACCAUACAAUUUAAUUAUAUCCAGUCCAUUCAAAUAGAAUAUAUUUUAAAUGGUUUGGCUACUUACGGAGUAAGAAAUAGGCUCAUGGGUCUCCUGGGGGAGGACGUGGGAGAAAAGAGCAAAGAGGAACCCCACGCAGAUCCACAGCAUGUUGGCUUGCAGGAAAAAAGAAGAAGAAGAAGAGGAGUUGAACUCCAAUGUGGCAACAGCCAAUGGGCCACUUCCAGGCACAACACCAAAAAGGGAUUAGCGCGUCAAAUACACGCGGAAACACGCCCGAGGGGAUACAAGUUGUCAACAAUGCAAAACACGUGUUGUGAUGGCGGUGUCGUACCUGGAAAUUACCUGUGGAGGGUCAAACAAGUCCCACGGAGGAUGUGCUUCGAAGAAGAAGGCGGUGGUGGAUGGCGUGACAAGGCUGAGCGAGUGGAGCAGCAUUGGACAUGAACGUGGAUGACAUGCUGGGGGCGGACGUGUACCAAGCAGGUUGUCUCUCACUCACUCACCGGGCUGCAGCCAAGCUAAGUCCCCCCACCCGUGCAGGCUACCGUUGGCGACCUCUAUUGGCCAUUGGUAAUAUUGCACACUAGAUUGCUGUUGUAUUUCUUUGCUUUCAAAAUUGCUGAUAAAUCUAUAUAAAAUAUAAACACAAAG